rnacentral:rRNA from 1 species
AGGACGAACGCUGGCGGCGUGCUUAACACAUGCAAGUCGAGCGGAAAGGCCUUUCGGGGUACUCGAGCGGCGAACGGGUGAGUAACACGUGAGUAAUCUGCCCAUCGCUUCAGGAUAGCCAUCGGAAACGGUGAUUAAUACUGGAUAUGACAUUCCUUCGCAUGUUGGGGUGUGGAAAGUUUUUUCGGCGGUGGAUGUGCUCGCGGCCUAUCAGCUUGUUGGUGGGGUAAUGGCCUACCAAGGCUUUGACGGGUAGCCGGCCUGAGAGGGUGACCGGCCACACUGGGACUGAGACACGGCCCAGACUCCUACGGGAGCAGCAGUGGGGAAUA